rnacentral:lncRNA from 1 species
UAUUCUUGAACUGAUUUCCUGAAAAUAUUUGACACAAUACGAUGUCAUAAUUUGAAAUUUUAAUGAAAGGAAGAGACGCCAAUAUAAUUGUUUGUUGUGGCCGAGAUGUUUUAAGAACAUUCAAGCAACAAAGACACUUUCACAUAAUUAUAAAUUGAAGCCCCAAUUAUAAACUAAAAGAAAUUGUUCAUCCAAAGCCAUACCUGAUGCAUUACUUGUUUCAAACAAAUUGUUAUUUUAACAGUUAUUUAUCCAAGCC